GUGUCAAAGGUUUCCAUCUUUUCACUCGAAGACUUGACUAUCAUCCAGUGAUGUGCGUUAAAUACUAAUAUUGUAGGAAUAAUAUUGUAGAUCACAAUACAAUUUUCGUAAAUAGAAAUUAACAAAAGUAGAAGAGUUAGCCAUAAUCUUCCUGUUUUCUACGAGUUUAACGUAAUCAUAAAGAAUUGACUAUAAUAAGGGGGGGGGGAUAAAGACAAUGUUACGAGUUGCCAAGUCAUAUUGGUACAAAGGUGAGCGAGUAAAAGUGUGUAUAGAUUUCUACCCAAAAUGGAGGUGAUUAUGUUCUUUUUAAUUUUUUAAUGUCUUUUAUAUACUAAGAGUUCGUCAGCCAAAGGUUUCCUGUGGUCUUUUCUUCAACUCAAGGAGACGUAAUUUCUCUCUUUCAGGGGCUGGCCAUUACGUUCGUCAGCGAAGAAGGCGAUGCAAAGACACUAAACGAGGUCCAGGAGAGAUUCGACGUGAACAUCACAGAGUUACCGGACGAGAUCGACCUGUCGUCUUACAUUGAGGGCCGUUAAUUAAGGACGUCUGUCUGCUGUGGCUGCAUUUUGUGUGGAAGUCUGUGAGUGGAUGGAUAAAAGAGAGAGGGGAGUGACCAGUCUCCCGAUCCCCCAGUACCUACUAAGUGACCAACCCCCCGUCACAACGUAUAUUUAGGAGUGUAAGAAAAUAAGAAAGAAAAACCCUUCCCCUCCCCCAUGUGUAUUUUAUUUAUAUAUAUUUUUGGAUAAGAAUCAUUGAGUCCCCCAAAAUGAGAGAUUUCGAUGUUGUACCAAAGUUUAGUAAUUAUCUGAUUUAUCUUGAUAUACUUCUUCAAGCUUCUCAGAAAAGAAAGUGGAAUAUUUUUUUAAGUUUAUUUUCUAUUUUUUGUCUGAACAAAUUCGUCGUGUUUUUGCUUUUGAUUUUUGUUGUCCAUUUCUGAGGUAGCGGGAAAAAAUAAAUCUU